UUGUAGAUAGCUGCUGCAUAUGCUCUGAACGGGCCAUAUCAUGGAGCCAGUGCUGCAAUCCCCAUCUGGAAAGUACAAGUGGAGCCCAAUGAAUUCUCAAAGAAUUACCUCCUUAUUGCUACUCCCCACGAGAGGCAGUUUAAAUAUGUCCCAUGCAAGGAUCCGCCUGAUAUCAAGAAUCAAAUAGCUGUUGGAAUGGCUGUGUAUCCUUCAGUUCUAGGUGACGCUAAUCCUAGGUUGUACAUCUACGCCACUGUAAGUCCACACCACUACAAUAUACUUAAAACAGUCUGA
rnacentral:rRNA from 1 species